rnacentral:rRNA from 1 species
AUGAACGCUGGCGGCGUGCCUAAUACAUGCACGUCGAGCGAACGGACGAGAAGCUUGCUUUUCUGAUGUUAGCGGCGGACGGGUGAGUAACACGUUGAUAACCUACCUAUAAGACUGGGAUUACUUCGGGAAACCGGAGCUAAUACCGGAUAAUAUUUUUAACCGCAUGGUUCCAAAGUGAAAGACGGUCUUGCUUUUACUUAUAGAUGGAUCCGCGCUGCAUUAGCUAGUUGGUAAGGUAACGGCUUACCAAGGCAACGAUGCAUAGCCGACCUGAGAGGGUGAUCGGCCACACUGGAACUGAGACACGGUCCAGACUCCUACGGGAGGCAGCAGUAGGGAAUCUUCCGCAAUGGGCGAAAGCCUGACGGAGCAACGCCGCGUGAGUGAUGAAGGUCUUCGGAUCGUAAAACUCUGUUAUUAGGGAAGAACAUAUGUGUAAGUAACUGUGCACAUCUUGACGGUACCUAAUCAGAAAGCCACGGCUAACUACGUG